GUAGGUGGCAAGCGUUGUCCGGGAAUUAUUGGGGCGUAAAGCGCGCGCAGGCGGUUCUUUAAGUCUGAUGUGAAAGCCCACGGGCUCAACCGUGGAGGGUCAUUGGAAACUGGAGAACUUGAGUACAGAAGAGGAGAGCGGAAUUCCACGUGUAGCGGUGAAAUGCGUAGAGAUGUGGAGGAACACCAGUGGCGAAGGCGGCUUUCUGGUCUGUAACUGACGCUGAGGCGCGAAAGCGUGGGGAGCAAACAGGAUUAGAUACCCUGGUAGUCCACGCCGUAAACGAUGAGUGCUAAGUGUUAGGGGGUUUCCGCCCCUUGGUGCUGCAGCUAACGCAUUAAGCACUCCGCCUGGGGAGUACGGCCGCAAAGGCUG
rnacentral:rRNA from 1 species